GGACAGCGGCGCAUGGGAGAGUAACGCGUGGAGACCUACCCUGGGGUUCGGAAAAGCGUUGGGAAACUGACGGUAAUACCGUACAUCAUCUCCGGAUGAAAGAUUUAUCGCCCUGGGAGGGCUCCGCGUCCUAUUAGCUUGUUGGUGGGGUAAUGGCCUACCAAGGCAAUGAUGGGUAGCGGGUGUGAGAGCAUGACCCGUCCCACUGGGACUGAAACACUGCCCAGACACCUACGGGUGGCUGCAGUCGAGAAUCUUCGGCAAUGGGCGAAAGCCUGACCGAGCGACGCCGCGUGCGGGAUGAAGGCCUUCGGGUAGUAAACCGCUGUCAGAGGGGAAGAAAGCUUACGCUUGACUGAUCCUCAGAGGAAGCACGGGCUAAGUUCGUGCCAGCAGCCGCGGUAACACGAACCGUGCGAACGUUAUUCGGAAUCACUGGGCUUAAAGGGUACGUAGGCGGUCUUGCAAGUGGGGUGUGAAAUCCCCCGGCUCAACCGGGGAACUGCGCUCCAAACUGCAAGACUUGAGGGAGACAGAGGUGAGCGGAACUGAUGGUGGAGCGGUGAAAUGCGUUGAGAUCAUCAGGAACACCAGAGGCGAAGGCGGCUCACUGGGUCUCUUCUGACGCUGAGGUACGAAAGCUAGGG
rnacentral:rRNA from 1 species